UACGUAGGGGGCUAGCGUUGUCCGGAUUUAUUGGGCGUAAAGAGCUCGUAGGCGGUUCGGUAAGUCGGGUGUGAAAUCUCCACGCUCAACGUGGAGGGGCCACCCGAUACUGCCAUGACUCGAGUCCGGUAGGGGAGUGUGGAAUUCCCGGUGUAGCGGUGAAAUGCGCAGAUAUCGGGAGGAACACCCGUAGCGAAGGCGGCACUCUGGACCGGUACUGACGCUGAGGAGCGAAAGCGUGGGUAGCAAACAGG
rnacentral:rRNA from 1 species